GCCCGUGUAGCUCAGUUGGUAGAGCACUUCAUUGGUAAUGAAGAGGUCACCGGUUCAAUCCCGGUUGCGGGCU
rfam:Elusimicrobia bacterium RIFOXYB2_FTLL_48_7 rifoxyb2_full_scaffold_8652, whole genome shotgun sequence.